CCUACGGGAGGCAGCAGUAGGGAAUCUUCCGCAAUGGACGAAAGUCUGACGGAGCAACGCCGCGUGAACGAUGAAGGCCUUCGGGUCGUAAAGUUCUGUUGUUAGGGAAGAACAAGUGCUAGUUAAAUAAGCUGGCACCUUGACGGUACCUAACCAGAAAGCCACGGCUAACUACGUGCCAGCAGCCGCGGUAAUACGUAGGUGGCAAGCGUUGUCCGGAAUUAUUGGGCGUAAAGCGCGCGCAGGCGGUUUCUUAAGUCUGAUGUGAAAGCCCCCGGCUCAACCGGGGAGGGUCAUUGGAAACUGGGAAACUUGAGUGCAGAAGAGGAAAGUGGAAUUCCAAGUGUAGCGGUGAAAUGCGUAGAGAUUUGGAGGAACACCAGUGGCGAAGGCGACUUUCUGGUCUGUAACUGACGCUGAGGCGCGAAAGCGUGGGGAGCAAACAGGAUUAGAUACCCUGGUAGUCCACGCUGUAAACGAUGAGUGCUAAGUGUUAGAGGGUUUCCGCCCUUUAGUGCUGAAGUUAACGCAUUAAGCACUCCGCCUGGGGANCGGUCGCAAGCUGAACUUAANGAAUUGACGG
rnacentral:rRNA from 1 species